GUCUACGACCAUGCCACCCUGAACAAGCUCGAUGUCUGAUCUCGGAAGCUAAGCAGGGUCGGGCCUGGUUAGUACUUGGAUGGAAGACUACCUAAGAAGACAAGGUGCUGUGGGCA
rnacentral:rRNA from 1 species